GGUUGUGGCUCAGUGGUAGAGCGCUCGCUUAGCACGUACAAGGCCCUGGGUUUGAUCCUCAGCACCA
rnacentral:tRNA from 1 species